rnacentral:misc_RNA from 1 species
GGAGAUUUGAUUAGGAUCACUACAGAAUUCAAUAAGUAGAGGAUCUAUUUUGGCUAUUUUUAUGGACUAUAAUUUUAUUUAGUCUUUCCUUUAUGCAUUUAUAUACAGGUUUCUGUUAUAUUUUAGUAAAUAGUCAAACAUGAAUUAACAAAUUUGAUUGAAGAUUGAAACUUUCUCCCAGCCUAUUCUGAUGUUUCUUUCUUUCUCUUUAUAUUCUUUUUUCUUUCCCUCUCAAUACUUUCUCCUUUCUCUACUCUUUUCCCUCAAAAUUUUCUUCUCUAUCUGUCCCCUUAUUCUUCUCUUUGUUUACAUCCUACACCAUCAAUUUAGCUGCAACAUAAUUUAUUUUUUUCACCUAUAAUGCAUAAGCACAUAGGAAGUUCCUACCCCGAUAUACAAUAGUCAGACAAAUUUAUCAUUCAUUACCACGGCAUACAUCCAUGCAGAAAUCCAAGUUCCAAAAAAUGAGCCAAAUUGGGCACCUUAUUUAUUUCUGGGCAGCCAAAAAGAUAUAAAC